AAGCGUAUGCAAUGAAACAAUCUUAAUAUCCUUCGAAAAAUAUUGUAAUACCUAAAUAAAGUAAUAUUUUUUAGUUUUUUGUUGUGACGAUCUGUGAUAUAGAUCUUUUUGCAAUAUUAUAUGUAUAAGCGCGACUGAGGAACAAAAAUGAGCAAUCAGAAUUAUUGUGAUACAGAUGCUAUGUUACCAUCUACUGCAACAGUAAUUAAAAUUACAAAUAUUUUAACUCCAUAUAUUGUAAGAAUUUAUGAAGUGAAGGACUAUAAUGAAAAGUUAAAUUCUAUCAAUAAGAAAUUGUUAAAAGAUGAGAAAAUGUUUCACAGUGUUGAAAAAGAUAUAGAACCAAAAAUAGGAGAUACAGUUAUAGUAUAUAAUAGAUUAGAUAUUACAACUGAUUGUCCUGGAUGGUUAUGCAGAGGAUAUAUUAGUAGUAUUGAAAAUCUGAAAGAUACAUAUAAUAUCUUUUUACCUGAUUAUGGAAUUUCUAUUGAAUCACAAAGAGAGGAUUUCAUUAUAUGUUCAACUGGUGCAAUUUUGGAAGAAUAUUUAACCUUCACAGUUGGUUUAUAUAAUAUUUUACCUGCGGAUGUAAAACAUAACUUAUCUGUACAGAAUGAAACUCUAAUAAUUUUAGAGGAAUGGAGCACAUCUGCAAUCGAAUACACAAAGGAAUUAAUAAGUGCAUCUGAUAUAGUCUAUUUUGAUCAUAUAGUAUCUGAUCAGUAUGGAAAAUAUUAUGGUGAAUUUUAUCUCAAUAUAAAAAACAAAAUAAUAUGUUUAAGUGAAGCUUUAGUUCUACACCAAUAUGCUAUUUAUUUAAAUAAAAAAUUGUUGCAGUUUAUAGAAAGUUCAAUGAAUAGUGAAAAAUUAAAUAAAGAAAUAAUCAAUGAUGAAACUGUAUUUUAUUUAAAUGUUUCACAAGUGUUGGAUAGAACUAGUGAAAGAAAAAAGCAAAAGGAAAGUUUCCUAAAAAGAGCGAAAUUUAAAAAAGGCAAUUAUUUACACCAUGAACUUCAAAGAGAUGAAGAAAAAGUAUUAAUUUAUGGAAUGGAUAAAUAUGAAUGGUUAAGUUCUACAUUAGAUGCAAAAUUCCCUGCAGAAAUACACAAGGCUUGGAAAUCAUUGAUACAGUCAUGUAAACCAAGGAAAAUACAGUCAUAUAUAUGGCCUGCUAUAAAAAAAGGUUUAGACACGGUAGCAAUUGGAACAGCAAAAUGUGGUAAAACUAUUGGAUAUAUAUUUGCUAUUUGUGGACUUUUGGCUACAAAUUCCAAUCUUCCUCGAGGAGUAAAUCCAUCUGCAUUGAUACUAUGUUCUUCCUCAUCUGAGGUACUAGAAGUUCAUUUUUUAUGCACAAAAUUCCUACAAGACUAUAAAACGAUAAAAUCUGUUGCUGCAAUUAAUGGUAAAUCAGAAAGAACAUUAGUGGCUGAAAUGUUUAAUGGAUGUCAGAUACUAAUCUCUACACCAAGAUUUUUAAUACGCUUCAUGAAUAAAAACAAAAAAUUAGUGAAUUUUAAAAAUCUUCGAUAUUUAAUUUUGGAUGAUGGUGAUAUUAUCUUGGAUAAAUAUUUUGAUUCUAUAAGUCAAUUAUUUAGACGACACAAUAUUAUUUGUAACAGAGAAUUAAAAAGUAAGACGUUUCAAAUUAUAAUAACUGCGACAUACUGGACACUGCAUUUAAAAAAAAUUGCCUCUAUUCUAAUGGAAAAUCCAUGCAUAUAUAUAGCAUCUUUUAUGGAAGCCGCAAUUUUUAAAUCUAUGCGUUUAAAUUUUUAUAUAAUAAAUUCAAAGGAAAAACAUGAAAGACUUUUAGAUUCAUUAGGUAAUGAGUAUUCCACCUCACGAACUAUAGUAAUUUGUGCAAAUAAUAACGAAGCUAAAGAGUUAAAUAACUUCUUAGAAAAACAUAAAGAGACUCUUUUAGCUCAUGGAAAUAUGAACUAUGUUCACUUACAACGUAUUAAGCAAUAUUGGAAUGUUUGUAUAAGUGGUUCUUAUCCAAUUUUAAUAUGUACAGAUGAUAUAUUACCAGAUAUAGAUAUUACAAAUGUAACUUGGUUGAUACAUUAUUCAAUUCCUUUGCAUUCAAAGACACAAUUUAAUUUUCGGUUCUCUACACUUCUAGAAAAUUUACAAAUGGAAAAUAGCACUGGAAAAGUAACUAUAAUAAUGGAUGAAAAUAAUGACAGACAGUUUUUACAUAUAAUAAAAAUAAUGCAACGUACGAAUUAUGUCAUUCCUGAAAAGAUAUUAGAAAAUGUUAAGUUUAUAACAGCUACUUUAGAACAGAAAAAGGAAAAUUAUCCUAUUUGUGACAGUAUAAAGUCUUGGGGAUUUUGUAACAAACAAAUUUCUUGUGCAUUGAGACAUAAAAUAAUUUCAAAAGUUGAUGCCCCAAUUACGGACAUUCAAAUAAACGACAAGGUAAAGUUCAGAGUAGUGAGCAUACAUGAUGCUACACAUGUUUCUGCAAGGAUUAUAUCAUAUAUCAAAUUUAAUACAUUAAAAGAAGUAGAAUUUUCUACUACUGAAUAUCUGCGAAUUAACACAAGAAUCCAAGAGUACUAUUCUUGUGUGGAAAACAGAAAGAAAUGUGAGACCCUCGAUGUGGGAUGUAUAUGUGGCUUGGAAGAACCAGUAGAUACUUUUAAGAGGAUACAAAUUUUACAUAUUGAAAGAGAAAAUAAAACAGAAAUUCCAAAGUAUGUAAAUGUAAGAUGUAUUGACAAUGGGGUAAUUUUGAAGAAAGUAGAUGUAUAUAGAUUGUUACAUAUGCCAGAAGAACUUAUAGAAUAUUCUAUGCAAGUAGUAGAAGUAUUUUUAGUUGGUAUAGCUCCGCAUGAUGAAGAAUAUGUUUGGAAUAAUUGUGCAAUUGAUGCUGUGUACCAGUGGUUUAAAGAAAAUGUUGAUGAUAGGUCCUAUGUGAUUGGAACGGUAUAUUACAUUAUUGGUUUUUAUUUAUUUUUGGAUUCCUUUUUUUAUAUCUUUUUUAUUCAUUUUGCUUAUGGAUAAGAUAUAUAAUGUGGCAAAGAAAUAUGAUCAAACUUUGGUACUGUUCUUAAGGAUAAAAGGAGGUCUGAUAAAUAUAGGUUGGAAAAUUUUACUUACAUCGAAAAUUCUUUGGAAUAGUCGUCGGACGUACAAUUUCAAGUAUUGUCAUCAUUUCUUUUGCUAGAAGUAAAUAAUGUGAUAGAGAAAAUUAUGAUAUUGAAGGCAAUAUGUUUCAUAAUAAAUCAGUAUGUAUCUGAACGUUUCAUAGUGAAAACAGUGCUAUAGGACUGAUUUAUUCUAAUAUCAACUAAUGGAAACGCUACAGAAGUUCAAUAUCUCUUAUCAACAGACGAUGUUCUGUUAAAAGUAUUUUUGCUUCGACACAUCGUAGAUCGUAGACUAUAUUUAUAUCUCGGAAAGAGCUUUUGGAUCUAUGGUUGUAUGACCUUUUUUUAUUUUUAGAAACAGUAGAAUAUGAUACCAAAGUUUGAUCACCUAUUUGCUUGUCACCCUGUAAUAUAGAUUUAAAUAAACAGGUAAAUUUACAUCUGGGAAAUACAAUAUGGGUAAAUACUUUGAAUGUUGGAACAAAAUUAAUUGGAUAUAAAGAUUUAAUUGGUUCAUGUUUAAGAACAGAAUUAUUAGAAAAAGAUCACGCUGUUGAAGAUGACAAACAUUUAAAUCGGAUGUAUCAACUUUGUAGGGAUGCUGGGUUUUUGAACAUAAAUGGAUAUGAUUUAAAUCUUUAAAUAAAA